rnacentral:rRNA from 1 species
UACGGAGGGGGCUAGCGUUGUUCGGAAUUACUGGGCGUAAAGCGCGCGUAGGCGGCCCUGUAAGUCCGUUGUGAAAGUCAAAGGCUCAACCUUUGAAAGCCGAUGGAUACUGCAGGGCUAGAGUCCGGAAGAGGCGAGUGGAAUUCCUGGUGUAGCGGUGGAAUGCGCAGAUAUCAGGAGGAACACCAAUGGCGAAGGCAGAUCUCUGGGCCGUAACUGACGCUGAGGAGCGAAAGCAUGGGGAGCGAACAGG